rnacentral:rRNA from 2 species
UGUGAACUCGAAGAGUAGGGCGGGACACGUGGUAUCCUGUCUGAAUAUGGGGGGACCAUCCUCCAAGGCUAAAUACUCCUGACUGACCGAUAGUGAACCAGUACCGUGAGGGAAAGGCGAAAAGAACCCCGGCGAGGGGAGUGAAAAAGAACCUGAAACCGUGUACGUACAAGCAGUGGGAGCACCUUCGGGUGUGACUGCGUACCUUUUGUAUAAUGGGUCAGCGACUUAUAUUCUGUAGCAAGGUUAACCGUAUAGGGGAGCCGCAGGGAAACCGAGUCUUAACUGGGCGUUAAGUUGCAGGGUAUAGACCCGAAACCCGGUGAUCUAGCCAUGGGCAGGUUGAAGGUUGGGUAACACUAACUGGAGGACCGAACCGACUAAUGUUGAAAAAUUAGCGGAUGACUUGUGGCUGGGGGUGAAAGGCCAAUCAAACCGGGAGAUAGCUGGUUCUCCCCGAAAGCUAUUUAGGUAGCGCCUCGUGAACUCAUCUUCGGGGGUAGAGCACUGUUUCGGCUAGGGGGUCAUCCCGACUUACCAACCCGAUGCAAACUACGAAUACCGAAGAAUGUUAUCACGGGAGACACACGGCGGGUGCUAACGUCCGUCGUGAAGAGGGAAACAACCCAGACCGCCAGCUAAGGUCCCAAAGUCAUGGUUAAGUGGGAAACGAUGUGGGAAGGCACAGACAGCCAGGAUGUUGGCUUAGAAGCAGCCAUCAUUUAAAGAAAGCGUAAUAGCUCACUGGUCGAGUCGGCCUGCGCGGAAGAUGUAACGGGGCUAAACCAUGCACCGAAGCUGCGGCAGCGACACUAUGUGUUGUUGGGUAGGGGAGCGUUCUGUAAGCCUGCGAAGGUGACCUGUGAGGGUUGCUGGAGGUAUCAGAAGUGCGAAUGCUGACAUAAGUAACGAUAAAGCGGGUGAAAAGCCCGCUCGCCGGAAGACCAAGGGUUCCUGUCCAACGUUAAUCGGGGCAGGGUGAGUCGACCCCUAAGGCGAGGCCGAAAGGCGUAGUCGAUGGGAAACAGGUUAAUAUUCCUGUACUUGGUGUUACUGCGAAGGGGGGACGGAGAAGGCUAUGUUAGCCGGGCGACGGUUGUCCCGGUUUAAGCAUGUAGGCUGGUUAUCCAGGCAAAUCCGGAUAAUCAAGGCUGAGGUGUGAUGACGAGGCACUACGGUGCUGAAGUAACAAAUGCCCUGCUUCCAGGAAAAGCCUCUAAGCAUCAGGUAACAUCAAAUCGUACCCCAAACCGACACAGGUGGUCAGGUAGAGAAUACCAAGGCGCUUGAGAGAACUCGGGUGAAGGAACUAGGCAAAAUGGUGCCGUAACUUCGGGAGAAGGCACGCUGGUGUGUAGGUGAAGUCCCUGCGGAUGGAGCUGAGACCAGUCGAAGAUACCAGCUGGCUGCAACUGUUUAUUAAAAACACAGCACUGUGCAAACACGAAAGUGGACGUAUACGGUGUGACGCCUGCCCGGUGCCGGAAGGUUAAUUGAUGGGGUUAUCCGUAAGGAGAAGCUCUUGAUCGAAGCCCCGGUAAACGGCGGCCGUAACUAUAACGGUCCUAAGGUAGCGAAAUUCCUUGUCGGGUAAGUUCCGACCUGCACGAAUGGCGUAAUGAUGGCCAGGCUGUCUCCACCCGAGACUCAGUGAAAUUGAACUCGCUGUGAAGAUGCAGUGUACCCGCGGCAAGACGGAAAGACCCCGUGAACCUUUACUAUAGCUUGACACUGAACAUUGAGCCUUGAUGUGUAGGAUAGGUGGGAGGCUUUGAAGCGUGGACGCCAGUCUGCGUGGAGCCAACCUUGAAAUACCACCCUUUAAUGUUUGAUGUUCUAACGU